GUGCUCCCCUAGUCUCCUCAUUGGUUUUCAGAAAGGAGAGGGUGGGUCCUCCAAGGGAGCUUGUAUGUGUGUAUGACAGAUGAGUUUUUUUUUUAACGUAAGAAAACAAAACCUGGAUAUUUGAUGCCCUUUUUUAAAAGGCAAAGACUUCUUUGGACCUGAAAUUUACAAGAGAAAGAAUGUUUUUUUAUUGUGAAAGGAGAUCCAGAAUUUGGUAAUGGUGAUAGGUCAUAAUAUGGAUAACUACAAUUACCAAGCCAACCAAGAAUAAAGACUGUUCAAGGUGCCACAAUCUAAUGGAUGAAAUUAAUUGGAAUGGAAACUAAGUUUGAUGAAGAGAAGCAGGUACCCUCUUUUUCUGUGCUUGUCAAGAAUCCAGGGCCAUCAAAAGAUGCAGAGAAUGGAGGAUCAGAUAGUCACCUUGGGGUAUCUAUCAUUUCCUGGGGAUCUAAAUCUCACCCAAAGGACCUUUGCUCUGUUCCACAGACACCAAAGCAAAAUGAACCAUCUUCAUCAUACGUUCAAGUGCCUGGCUACCUGAGUAUUACUAAUGAGCCUAAAAAUCAAAAUUUCUUUAGGGAUUCACUAUAUCCUACUUCAACUAAAGCUGAAGAUUAUGUUUUCCCUCUCAAGAUAUGUCCCUCAUUAUAUCUUCCAAAUGAAAGAUCUGAUGGUAAACCAGAAAUCAUUCCUGAAAUGUAUGUCAUUAAACAAAAACCCAGCACAAUCACUUUUUCCAACAAUGAAUGUUUAACCCCUGCCAUUGACAGUGACCUCCACAUCUGCGGAAUCAUUGAUACAGAAACUUCUUCAUAUGAAUCUGUGGAGGAAGUAGAGGAGGGGGGUGAUGAAGCUUUCCCACAGCUGCCACUCUUCGAGACAUUUUUUAAAGACAUUCAGACAAAAGAAAUCCCCCAUGACAAACAAAAGGCACUUGGAUUUAUGGAAGAGAAACAUGCCUUUAAUGAGGGUAGUUCCUGUGAACAUUUGGGAAUAGUACCAAACAAGAAGGAGAACAAAGAAAACUCAAUCAGCAAGGUGGCACAGCCCAAGGGCUCAGAAUGGUCAGACUCUAUGGCCUGUGUCAUGAAAAAGUUAGAGCAGCUAAAUUUAGAUAUUGAAGAAGCUCUCAGUGCUGGCUCUUCCCCUUCUCAUACUCCUUCUUUCAAAAGGCGCAAACAGCAGAGUUCUAAAAAAGUGGAAAGUGUACUUAAUAAAGAUCAUCAAAGCAAGGGAAUUUGUAGAAAUAAGGAGGAAAGUGUCCUGGAUCUAGAUUUUGUGCCAAACCCAAUGCCAACUGGUGCACGACCGAAGAUGAAAGUGCUGCCUGACAAACAGGUCAAGGAGAGAGCUGCAGGGCUCAUGCUCAUGUGAAGUACAAGGAAAGCAAGAAGAAAACAGCAUAAGCUGCUUUUUCCUGACUUAACUGACCAGUGUUCAAAAAAUAGUGACCAAACAAUGGAAGACCUUUAUCCCUGUUUUCUCUCAGAUACUUAAAAAAGAGGGGAGGGGAAGGUAG
ensembl:lncRNA